rnacentral:rRNA from 1 species
GACGAACGUUGGCGGCGUGCUUAAUACAUGCAAGUCAACUGAAGCAGUGGUAGCAAUAUCGCUGUGGAGGUGGCGCACGGGUGAGUAACACGUAGGUAAUCUGCCUUCAGGUCUGGCAUAACCCCGGGAAACCGGGGCUAAUAGCAGAUGAUGCAGCGGCUCGACAUCGAGACAGUUGUUAAAGCUAUGGCGCCUGAAGAUGAGCCUGCGUCUGAUUAGCUAGUUGGCGGGGUAACGGCCCACCAAGGCAACGAUCAGUAGCUGGUCUGAGAGGAUGAUCAGCCACACUGGAACUGAGACACGGUCCAGACUCCUACGGGAGGCAGCAGUAAGGAAUAUUGCUCAAUGGGAGAUAUCCUGAAGCAGCAACGCCGCGUGAGGGACGAAGGGCUUUUGCUUGUAAACCUUUGUAGUGAGAGAAAAAAAUCCCAAUCUUUGGGACAUGAUGGUAUCUCAAAAGUAAGCCCCGGCUAACUACGUG